rnacentral:rRNA from 1 species
CAAGGACUUGACAUCCUGCGAAUCCUUCAGAGAUGGAGGAGUGCCUUCGGGAGCGCAGAGACAGGUGGUGCAUGGCUGUCGUCAGCUCGUGUCGUGAGAUGUUGGGUUAAGUCCCGCAACGAGCGCAACCCUCGUUCUUAGUUGCCAGCAUUAAGUUGGGCACUCUGGGGAGACUGCCGUGGACAACACGGAGGAAGGUGGGGACGACGUCAAGUCAUCAUGCCCCUUACGCCCUGGGCUACACACGUCCUACAAUGGCCGGAUAUAGAGGGCAGCGAAGCCGCGAGGUGGAGCGAAUCCCAGAAAGCCGGUCUCAGUUCGGAUUGCAGGCUGCAACUCGCCUGCAUGAAGUCGGAAUCGCUAGUAAACGCAGAUCAGCAUGCUGCGUUGAAUACGUUCCCGGGCCUUGUACACACCGCCCGUCACACCACGAAAGUUUGUUCAACCCGAAGUCGGUGAGCUAACCUCUUAUGAGGAGGCAGCUGCCUAAGGUGGGGCAAAUG